AACGAACGCUGGCGGCAGGCUUAACACAUGCAAGUCGAACGGGCAUAGCAAUAUGUCAGAGGCAGACGGGUGAGUAACACGUGGGAACCUUCCUAGAGGUACGGAACAACGCAGGGAAACUUGUGCUAAUACCGUAUACGCUCGAGAGAGGAAAGAUUUAUCGCCUUUAGACGGGCCCGCGUAGGAUUAGGUAGUUGGUGAGGUAACGGCUCACCAAGCCUACGAUCCUUAGCUGAUCUGAGAGGAUGAUCAGCCACACUGGGACUGAGACACGGCCCAGACUCCUACGGGAGGCAGCAGUGGGGAAUCUUGGACAAUGGGCGCAAGCCUGAUCCAGCCAUGCCGCGUGAGUGAAGAAGGCCUUCGGGUUGUAAAGCUCUUUUACCAGGGACGAUAAUGACGGUACCUGGAGAAUAAGCCCCGGCUAACUUCGUGCCAGCAGCCGCAGUAA
rnacentral:rRNA from 1 species